GACGAACGCUGGCGGCGUGCUUAACACAUGCAAGUCGAACGGAAAGGCCCUGCUUUUGUGGGGUGCUCGAGUGGCGAACGGGUGAGUAACACGUGAGUAACCUGCCCUUGACUUUGGGAUAACUUCAGGAAACUGGGGCUAAUACCGGAUAGGAGCUCCUGCUGCAUGGUGGGGGUUGGAAAGUUUCGGCGGUUGGGGAUGGACUCGCGGCUUAUCAGCUUGUUGGUGGGGUAGUGGCUUACCAAGGCUUUGACGGGUAGCCGGCCUGAGAGGGUGACCGGCCACAUUGGGACUGAGAUACCGCCCAGACUCCUACGGGAGGCAGCAGUGGGGAAUAUUGCACAAUGGGCGGAAGCCUGAUGCAGCAACGCCGCGUGCGGGAUGACGGCCUUCGGGUUGUAAACCGCUUUCGCCUGUGACGAAGCGUGAGUGACGGUAACGGGUAAAGAAGCACCGGCUAACUACGUG
rnacentral:rRNA from 1 species